AAGAACCUUGGCUUCAAUAGAGCCUCAACCAUGAUACCAUAUAUCCCCACAAUGUACAAAAAGCUAUAACAAAUAAAGUAUAAAACACUGUUUAUAUUUUAGUCUACACUUCACAGGGCCAUCAUCGCAAGGGAAAGUGCUGCUGCACCUCUUGAGCCAGACAGCAAACCUGUACAACGCGGGUUUCUUACUGAUGAGACAACUCUAUAUUUUGAUCCCUCCUGCAUUAUGAGAUGAAAAGCA
rnacentral:misc_RNA from 1 species